CAGCAGCCGCGGUAAUACGAAGGGUGCAAGCGUUAAUCGGAAUUACUGGGCGUAAAGCGUGCGUAGGCGGUGAGUUAAGUCUGCUGUGAAAUCCCCGGGCUCAACCUGGGAAUGGCAGUGGAUACUGGCUCGCUAGAGUGUGUCAGAGGAUGGUGGAAUUCCCGGUGUAGCGGUGAAAUGCGUAGAGAUCGGGAGGAACAUCUGUGGCGAAGGCGACUAUCUGGGCCAACACUGACACUGAGGCACGAAAGCGUGGGGAGCAAACAGGAUUAGAUACCCCAGUAGUCCCUGUCUCUUAUAC
rnacentral:rRNA from 1 species